rnacentral:rRNA from 1 species
CCUACGGGUGGCUGCAGUGAGGAAUAUUGGUCAAUGGGCGCAAGUCUGAACCAGCCAAGCCGCGUGCAGGAUGACGGCUCUAUGAGUUGUAAACUGCUUUUAUAAGAGGAUAAACGCAGAUACGUGUAUCUUUUUGAAUGUACCGUACGAAUAAGGAUCGGCUAACUCCGUGCCAGCAGCCGCGGUAAUACGGAGGAUCCAAGCGUUAUCCGGAUUUAUUGGGUUUAAAGGGUGCGUAGGCGGGUUGUUAAGUUAGGUGUGAAAGGUUGUGGCUCAACUUCGGAAUUGCAUUUUAUACUGUCAGGCUAGAGUAUAGUUGAGGUAGGCGGAAU